UACAGAGGGUGCAAGCGUUAAUCGGAAUUACUGGGCGUAAAGCGUGCGUAGACGGUUACAUAAGUCGGGUGUGAAAGCCCCGGGCUCAACCUGGGAAUUGCAUUCGAGACUGCGUAGCUAGGGUGCGGAAGAGGGAAGCGGAAUUUCCGGUGUAGCGGUGAAAUGCGUAGAUAUCUGGAGGAACACCGGUGGCGAAGGCGGCAUCCUGGACCAACACUGACGCUGAGUGAGCGAAAGCCAGGGGAGCAAACGGG
rnacentral:rRNA from 1 species